rnacentral:tRNA from 1 species
GUGGUUCAGUGGUAGAGUGUUUGCCUUGCAUGCAUAAGGCCCUGGGUUCGAUUCCCCAGC